CCGAGUUUACAACUCCCAAACCCCUGUGAACAUACCUAUACGUUGCCUCGGCGGAUCAGCCCGCGCCCCGUAAAAAGGGACGGCCCGCCCGAGGACCCCCAAACUCUGUUUUUAGUGGAAUUUCUGAGUAAAACAAACAAAUAAAUCA
rnacentral:misc_RNA from 1 species